AUUGAACGCUGCGGCAUGCCUUACACAUGCAAGUCGAACGGCAGCACGGGAGCAAUCCUGGUGGCGAGUGGCGAACGGGUGAGUAAUAUAUCGGAACGUGCCCAGUCGUGGGGGAUAACGUAGCGAAAGCUACGCUAAUACCGCAUACGAUCUAUGGAUGAAANCGGGGGAUCGCAAGACCUCGCGCGAUUGGAGCGGCCGAUAUCAGAUUAGGUAGUUGGUGAGGUAAAGGCUCACCAAGCCGACGAUCUGUAGCUGGUCUGAGAGGACGACCAGCCACACUGGGACUGAGACACGGCCCAGACUCCUACGGGAGGCAGCAGUGGGGAAUUUUGGACAAUGGGCGCAAGCCUGAUCCAGCAAUGCCGCGUGCAGGAUGAAGGCCUUCGGGUUGUAAACUGCUUUUGUACGGAACGAAACGGUAAGCUCUAAUACAGUUUGCUAAUGACGGUACCGUAAGAAUAAGCACCGGCUAACUACGUG
rnacentral:rRNA from 1 species